AUGACAAUCUCAAUUAUCAUGAAGGAUCUGUAUUCACAUAGAAAUAUGAGAACACCGCUUAGGAAAGGGAUGGAAUCCACAUUUGACUUUGAAGCAACUCGAAUACCACAGCUCAAAACAAAACAAAGGAUUGGCUUGCAGAAUAAGCCAGAACAAAUAUAUGUUAGAGAUUUCGCCCGAAGUUUUCGUGGUGGGGCCUACACGGGCUCAUCGUACAUCACCAUCAUGUACAAGGCAGUGCACAUGACAUACGAAGCGUCCCCGAGUUGGCAUAGCCAAGGACUCUUUAAGACACAACGAGACCACUGUAAAACCAACCGUGGAUAG
rnacentral:rRNA from 1 species